GGAAAUGUGGAAUACACCACAACUGUGAUUUUAUUUAUUUUUGGGUUAUGCCACAUGUAAAUUAUGGUGAUGUAGAAUUAUCCUUUUUUUCUUUUUUCUUUUUUAGUUUUUGCUAGGUUAGGACUAUGAUGAUAAAUUUAUUAUGAUGUAUUUAUUGAAAAUAUUCUUUAAUUGUUGUGUGAUUACAAUGUGGUGUAGUAAAUAAAAUUUGUGGUGGUAGCCAAAUGUGAAACCUCUCUGUAUCUAUUUCUUCCCGGCCCAAAAAUGGGAAAAUCCAAUCCCGCCACCCACUAUAGGUAGCGCCACCGCUGUUGGGUCACACCACCGUUUACUUCAUCUCUACCCCUCUCAACCUCUCUCUUUUCUCCUCACAUCCCCACCGACCGUCUGCCCCCUUUCUCUUCCCUCCAAUAAAGAGCUAUUAUUUUAUAGCAAUUUCCUUUCAGUACUAUGGAAGCAUAUCACAACAGCAAGUUCAGAGUCGGAGCUAGAGAUUUGAACAUCGCUGCCACUCAAUUUCCUCGAGUGGAGGUCGGAUUUUUUAGAUCCACGGUGGGAAAUUGCGUCAUUCUUGGAGCCUCCUGUUAAAACAUCGAGCUCAACUGAUGAAGGACCAGCAGCAAUCAGGACUAACUAAUGGGAAUUGGAUCAACAGGAAGAAAGCAAUAGCUUGGAAGAUACGAACGCGAACAAAUGAUGGAAGAAUUCUGCAAGUGGAUCGAACAUGACCAUUUUCUGUUAGAAUAUUUAUGGUCAUAUGAUUCAUUUUCAAAUAGUCAAUUAGUUUGUAUAGCAAAUGGCAUAGAUUUCUCUUUGUCUAGAUUCUUC
rnacentral:lncRNA from 1 species